AUCGCUUUCCGGCCGUAUGGCUAAGAUGUAGUAUCUGUUCUUAUCAGCUUAACAUAUGGUAGAUCCACCAUUGGUGGACAACAAAUGUAAAACUUAUUUUUGGAAACAGACAGAGAGUUUAGUAGCUUGCUCCAUCUAUGUCAUGGAUUGAUCUGGCAUUCCAGUACAGCCAGUGUUGGCCCAAUAAUU